CAACAAUUGCUCAAGUGGCAAAUCUAAAGGUUUAUAUGAUUCAAUGCUUCGAUUUGAAGGGAAAAAAAGCAAUUUCACUCAUUUUGCACUCAUUUGCAUCGUUAUUUAUAACAUUGUGCUACUUUUAUCGGAAUACAAAACAAGCACCACAGUCAAAAAGUAUAAAAUACUCACUUGUAUAACCUCUACUUUAUACCUACUCUGGCUUGUACUAUUACGCUCCAAGCGAUGUGAAUACAUUGAAUUGAUCAAUCUAUUUGAAAGUCAAACUGGACUCAGCCUUGAAAAUUUGCUAGUUUAUCGCCAUUUCACCGAAAUGCGAAAUAUUUUUUCUAUUUUUUAUCGUCAUUAAUGAUGUCAUAACAAUAUAUUUCAUUUUUCGCAGUUUGAUUGUAAUCUUUCAGCAAUCGAGUGAUUUUGUCCAAUUAUUCAUAAGCUGCCUCUUUAAUUUCAUGUUUUUAUUUUGCCUCUUCGGCUAUCAAUUAUUCAACCAAUUUCUUGUUGAAUCAAGUCUUUACAUUCAUGGCUGCUGGCUUACUGUAAAUGCGCAAAUUCGUUCACUUAGAAACAUUGACUGUCGAGUGUAGCAAUAAAAUUCGUGGAACUCGUUGGAUGAACAGCAUUGCUUCUGAAGCGACAGAAAGAAUGGAUUCAUUCCUAAGACUACCGAUUUCCGAUUUCUAUUCAUUUGUUGUCAUUUCAGUUCACAUUCAUCUUGUAGAAGUUUAUUACGAUCCAUCGAUAGCUAGCUAUAUUGUUCUAGUAUUUCGCAUUCGAGUCAUCACUGUUUAUUAUUAGCGUCUAUGUUGGACAAUUUUCAGCCUUUAUUCUUGUAGCUUAUAACAUGGUUUACAUCAAUCAUCUUGCAACCAGAAUCUAUCAAUCAGCUUAUUCCCUUACAUUUAAAGCAGAUUCAUUGUUUGCUAAAAAAGAGGUUCAACAUUUUCUUCUUCGGAUUGAACGCGGUGAUGUUGGCUUUACUUUCCUGGACCUGUUUGUUAUCACACCAACUUGCUUUACUACAUUGGCCACAAUCUCUUUGACUCUUGCAUUAGCAGAAACCACUUUAAUCAAAUGAUGCUACAAGUCUUGUUCCUCUUUAAUGCAUCUAUGAAUGUACACAUCACUUUAAGCUUUUGUAGGGCACAAUCAAUGUAACUUGUUGAAUUGAAAAUAAAUGAUUCUAUCGAUACAAUGAGCCUCGAUAGCCUUAGUACAUCCAGCCAUACUUUCCUUUGCCUUUAUUACCAAAUCUGUAAACUCUGUAUUCCCAUCAAAAUAUUUGAAUAUUGAAAUUAAAUUAUUUUGCUAAACUAA